UCCGCCCCGCGCGGGCCUUCGCCCCGACCCGACCCUCCCCCGGCGCAGCGGGAGGAGGGACCGGGGUGGAGCGUGCGGCCACCAGCCGCCCCCAGGCAGCGGCCCCGGCCUGCGAGCGAGCUCCGGCGCUGCCUGCACUUCCCGGGAAUCGGGGUUCGUUAACCAGUUCCGGGACCGACCCGGACACACCUAGGGCGGGCGCUGUGCCCCCCAGAUCGUGCCUCUCAGACUCGAUUCUGAUCAGAUGUGCCCCCUGAUUUCUUCACCCACAUCAAGCCAACCGUGCUGGUUGCACUGAAUUCCCAGUUGCCCAGUUUCCAGGGGUCAUCUGAACCGCUCGGCGCGCUCCGCGGUCGGUACACUGGGGGUUGGAUGCCAACUCGGGAAUUACGCGCACUGUACUCCGGAAUGGAAGGCCUGCCGGCGGGUUCCUCGUCAGUAAAAUGGAAAUUCGUCAGAGAAUGAGAUGCAAACGCAAAUGGAAUGCUUAGGACUGAGCCCUCACAGUGGAAACAUUUACAUUGUUAUCUAAUGUUAGUACCUUAAAGAAGCAGUGGUUUAUCUAAAUCUAACAAUAGGUGAAAAAUUAAAUAAAACUCCUUCAGCCUA